rnacentral:rRNA from 1 species
CAGUCGCCGCGGGAAUACGAAGGGGGCUAGCGUUGCUCGGAAUGACUGGGCGUAAAGGGCGCGUAGGCGGCUUUGACAGUCAGAUGUGAAAUUCCUGGGCUUAACCUGGGGGCUGCAUUUGAGACGUCAAGACUAGAGUGUGAGAGAGGGUUGUGGAAUUCCCAGUGUAGAGGUGAAAUUCGUAGAUAUUGGGAAGAACACCGGUGGCGAAGGCGGCAACCUGGCUCAUUACUGACGCUGAGGCGCGAAAGCGUGGGGAGCAAACAGGAUUAGAUACCCCCGUAGUCCCUGUCUCUUAUAC